rnacentral:lncRNA from 1 species
UGUUGUGGUUUUUUUCUUUGUUUUUUUUUUUUUUUCUGUGAUUGGACUCGAUGAUCUCAAAGGUCCCUUCCAACCACGAUUCUGUUAAAAUCUGAUUUCUUUUUCCAGCCCGCACGCUUCCUCCCUGCUACUCCGCCGACCUGCGCCCGGCCUCGGAGAGACUCGUCUCGGCCGUGGGCUGCACCGUGCUCCUCACCGUGCCGCCUCCCAGGGCCAGCCAAGGUGUCUUCUGGGAGUACAAAACCGGCCCUCAGGAAGGGGUCAUCCUCAGCUACGCCUUCGACAGAGCCCCCAACACCUCUCGCCCCUACGAGAACCGCACCCGGUUCAACGAGACCGACUUCUCGCUGCAGAUGGUGCUGCAGCAGGGGGACGGCCGGCUCUACCGCUUCAGGUCCGAGUCCGAGGCCACGGGCUGGUUCCAGCUCCAUGUUGUUGGUGAGUGAUGGGAUGGCGAAGCCUCUGGAAUCGCUGUGGAGGAGGGUCCUCUGGGUCUGGCACCCGGGGAGCCGUGGGUUUUGAUGCUGACAGUCGCUCCGUCUCUCCCAGAACCCCUGUCCGAGCCAGAAAUCGUGGGCAACUCCUCAGUGAAGGCAGGAGCCAACACCAAACUGGUUUGCAACGUCCUGGAAGGGAAGGCAGACUUGUACUGGUGGAAGAAAAAUGGGGAGCUGCUGCUGGGAAGCGACCACAUCCAGUUUGUGGACAACAGCACCCUGUGCAUCCUGAAGGCCUCCAUGAACGACAGCGGGUACUACGCCUGCGUGGUGCGCAACCAAGUCAGCCAGAACGAGACCUCCUUCCUGCUCCACGUCCAGCAUGCUGCCAACGUGCUGUUGCCCGUGAUCCUGGCGUGCGUGGUGGUGGGCUCGCUCGCAGGUGUCUUGGUCUGGUGCAGAAGGGACCGCCCGUGUCGCAACAUCUGUAGGUAAGAUGCUUCCAGCCCCUCUCCUGGUGGUGGCCCUGCUCCUCCAGCUGUGGCUACCAGCCAGAACUUAUCGUUGGAUGGGUCUUUGCUAGACAAGUGGGAGGGCUUGGGGUCCUUUGCCAGCCCCUGUAAGAGGCAGCUGAGGGGUUGCUCUGCCCGCUCCGGGGGCUUAUAGGAUUUGUUGUCCCCCCCCAACAGUCCCCACUGGGAUUUGUUCUUCUUGCAGGUAGAGCUUGACUGGCUGUGCCCUUCCUGCCUUCCCCCGAUGGUGGUGGAUGCUGCCUGGGGAGCGCUGGACCCCUGAUGCCAUCACAACCUCUUCUGGGCUCACCACUGAACUGCUCCAGCUGCCAAAGCCAACAACUAUUUGUAAAACACCGUCCAGAACUAUUUCUUUGUGGUCCUGCUCUUCCCCAGGGCCCCUUCCACGUCCCUGGGGGAGAGGUGGGCACGGCCAUGCCUGGAGACCCUGCUGCUGCUGUCCUCCAGACCUCCCUACCUCUCCUGCCUUCCUCCGGGGCGGGCCAAGAGCCUGUGGAUGGGCUGAGGGCUCUGGAAGGAGCCACCACCAUCCCCUCUGGACAAACACAUGGUCCUGGGGCUGCUGGGGGGCGUGCCGUGGUGCCAGCCCCUGUGUCCCCAGGGCUUGAGCCCCUCACCAUGGCCUGGGACUUGCCAGGGUGGCUCGGGGGCUGAGACCGUGGGCGUUCUGCUGGGUUUGGCCCUUGGAGGGAGGAAAAAGGGCAGGAUUUUGCUGUCGUGUGCCCUGGGGAGGGUGGGAGACGAGCGGGGCCGGUGGAAGGCGGCAGGGGAGGGGGGAGCAGCAACGUAGGUUUGUUUUAGGAAGGAAACCCCAAAGGAACCCCCGUGGCUGCGUUACAGCAGCACCAGAGCCUGGCGUGGGAGACCUAGGGAUGCUGCCGAGCCCAUCUCCUCUGUCCUCCAGCCUUGGGCUCCGAUGGGAUUUGGGGACAUCACUCCUCUCCUGUGUGUGCCAAUAGAAGCUUGUCCUUCCCCUCUGCCACUCCUGAGGUGAUGGUAGACUUGGUCUGCUUUGAUACGGCCAGGGCAGCCCCAACGCCAGCCCCUGGGCCCAUUACCUCCCCUCCCCUGCUGCUUCUGCAGAGCUCUUCUGGGCUUUGCUCCUCAAGGGAUUCUUAUUUUUUUUCCUAUAGUUGAAAUUAAUUAGCCUGGAGGCACGACUGGCCUCUUCACCCUGGAGAAAACUGGAUGCUCUCUCAGGAGUGCUCGACCUCACAAAGUGCCUUGUGAGCCUCAGGACGGGGCGUUUGCACCCAUCUUUCAUUCUGAUGGGGACACCCCCAGGUCCAGCACCCCAUCUGAGCUGGUCCCCAUGCUGGGGACAGGUGGUUUGGGUGCUCUGGUCGCUGCUGGAUGGUCCCUUCUCUCCCAGAGCAGGUGGCCUGGGGACUUCUCCUCAUUCCCAGCCAUGAAGUGAACGCUACGGGUGGAUGGUUCUCCUCCUUGGGUCUUGUUUGUGGACCUGCUUCUGCAGCAAAGGGCUUUCCUGGCUGGGGCAGGGGGUGUCUCCUUGGAGUUACCUCCUCUCAGUGGAGAAUAGAAGGGCAAUCAGGAGUCUCACGUUGUGUCCCACGGUGUGAGCAGUCCCUGAGCUGUCCUGCAUCUAUUUCUGGGGCAAAUCCAAAAAUAAUGGGAGAGUGAGCUGGCUUGUGGCUUGACCAUCUUGGCCAGUGCCUGCCCUCCCUGCUCGGGCAGACGGUGCAGCGGAGAUCAGUCCUGGGGAGAAAAUGGGGAUCUAAAAGCGCCACCAGCAACGGGACCUCUCUCAGCCUGGGAUUUCACGUUGCAAUUAAAGCACUAAAGGAAGCAGAGCAGUUUGGGCGGAAUAAACCAGAUUUGAACCUCA